rnacentral:snoRNA from 1 species
UCCCCCACUGCUACAAGAUGAACUACAUCGACCAUAUUAUCUUUAGGAAGAGCCGGAAAAGGUAUGGCGAGCAUUUGUGCUUCGCCGUCGCUGCUUAUAACCAGGUCACUGAAAGCCUCAAAUA